rnacentral:rRNA from 1 species
GACGAACGCUGGCGGCGUGCUUAACACAUGCAAGUCGAACGGAAAGGCCCUGCUUGCAGGGUACUCGAGUGGCGAACGGGUGAGUAACACGUGGGUGAUCUGCCCUGCACUUCGGGAUAAGCCUGGGAAACUGGGUCUAAUACCGGAUAGGAGCCAUUUUUAGUGUGAUGGUUGGAAAGUUUUUUCGGUGUAGGAUGAGCUCGCGGCCUAUCAGCUUGUUGGUGGGGUAAUGGCCUACCAAGGCGGCGACGGGUAGCCGGCCUGAGAGGGUGGACGGCCACAUUGGGACUGAGAUACGGCCCAGACUCCUACGGGAGGCAGCAGUGGGGGAUAUUGCACAAUGGGCGCAAGCCUGAUGCAGCGACGCCGCGUGGGGGAUGACGGCCUUCGGGUUGUAAACUCCUUUCGCUAGGGACGAAGCUUUUUGUGACGGUACCUAGAUAAGAAGCACCGGCUAACUACGUG